GGAUGUGAGGGUGAUCUGGCUCUGACAUUUGUCACCCCACUGAUCACCAGGGUUAAUCUGGCUGAUCUGUCUGGCAAGGUGGGUGUCCCCUUCCUCUCUCAUGUCCCUUUCUGUGUCCCUCUCAAAACCGCAUGCUCGGUAGAAGAGGAUGACCGCCCCUGACAGACGAGGGUUGUCCUUUGGUCAAAGGUAUACGUAUAUAUGAGUAGCUGCGUUCCCCUCUGGACCCUCCAAACAAACGCUCAAGGUCCAUUUCUAGGAGAACAUGAGGUGGUCAAACUUCCAGGACUUCAAGCACGUCCAAAGGAGGUGCUGUGUGUGGCAGUCUGCCGUUCUUG
rnacentral:snRNA from 1 species